AUAUAAUUUUUGGCAUCUCCUGAACAAAGCUUAAUUAAGGCCCAUUAAGAGCCUAAUACUCAGCUCUUAGUAAAAGAGGAUCGCGCCACCAUCACGAGUCGCGAGUUUGUGAUGUGAGAAGCUUGGAGAAUCGAUUUGGGAAUUUAGGGUUUUGCGAAGACUACGACAUAAGAUUUGGCGAUGACUCUGCCUCCAGGUCUUUACUCCGGCACCAGCUCUCUCGCUCUUGUGGCUCGUGCUUCGGCUUUUAGCGUGGGUCUCGUCUACGGGAGCAUGAAGCUCAAGUUCCUCAAGAUGACAAAGCCACACAAGGUUGAAGCUAAUCAUUAAACCAUUUUUUUUCCCUUUACAAUAAAGAUGGGGGGGGGACGAGGUCAUGUCUCCCCCCGGUUAUCAAUUUUUCUUCUUUUCGUUAUUCAUUUUUCAUCACUAAAAAGAAACAACUUUGUGUUUGUUUAAAGCUUAUUAUACGGUUCUUAAGACCCUUUUUUUUGGAGCCAAAACCCAAGUCAAGAGCAUCUUAACAUUUGUUGUCACCAUCUAAAUUCACUUAAACCUCUCAAAUCAAAUUCAUUACAACACUAAGGAUCAGCCCAAUCUCUCACGGAUUUGCCUUUUGUUUUGCAAGUGCCAUUAUAUUUAUAACAUUGUCUUAGUUGUAUGUCUUUCGACCGUUUGAUUUUUGAUCGCUGUUAUAACGUCCAUCGUUUUUGAGAUGUAUAUGAAUGGUUCCCUGUUAACCUCACUACCCCAGUCUAGCUCAAGUAUACUUUUUUUAUUUGUUCCCAAAAUGCAUUCCCAUAUCCUCCUGAUUGGUUGUCAAAGAUCGAGCAUCAUUGAUUGAUGUUAUACAUAAACAACAUUUUUUAACUUUAUCUAUGUCGCAUACACAGAAAGAAACACGAUACUGCGCAUUUAUAUAUAUAAAAAGAACUGGUGUGGACCAGUCAACUAGUGAUAUCCCAUGUUCGAAAUUACGCUAGGCGCUAGUCGGGCGGUGACCCCGGGCCUAGCGAGUUAUCGAAAAAUCGGGGAUUAAUCGGGGUAUACGCGGGGACUAGUUUUUAUUAUUAUUAUAUUUAUAAUAAUAUUUAAAUUAAAUAUAUAAUAUAAAUAUAUUAGAAUGUAAUAGUUUUUUUGUAUAUUAUUGAAGUUUUAAUUUAUUGGUUUAACAAAAGUUAUUGUUAAUGUCAUAUUUUUAUUACAAUAAUGUUUAUAUAUGUGUCAGUAUAUGUACAUAUGUCAAAAGACGUUGUGGUCUAUUGGUGUUUGAUGCUGUCAACCUCUUAUGAGGUACAGGGAUCGAUUCACCAAUAGAGUGUUUUUAAUUAAAUUUUUUUUAAAAAAAAAACACCUAUGAAACAAAGUCCCACAUCGGUUAAACACAAGGAGGGGUGAUGCUGAAGACGCCUAUAAAUACUCAUUUAGAGUUGUCAUCAUUAUAACUUGCAAUUGGGUUUCCAUAAACCUGUUGUAGGCCCAAUAGUUCAAUUUUUUUUAAGUUUUAAGCGUUUAAGACUGGUAAUAUUACGCGGUCAACGCAGAUAAUACGCGGUCAAAGCGUGUUAACGCGGUCCAGCGCCUAGUGUGACCGAUCAGGUCAUAAUCGCGGCGGUUGGACUCCGAGCAACGCCUAAGCGGCCGCCUAGGCGGCUAGGCGGCCGCGUUUUCGAACAGGGUGAUAUCUAAUCCAGUAGACAAUGUGACAGGCUGACAGCAGCGUGUAAAUUGCAACCGCGAACUCAUACCCAGCGUCACCACUGGACCACUGGUUAAAUAGUUGUAUAUUUGGUUGCAAUAUCGCGUGGUGACUUUUAAUAUUGUUUUACGUUUGUAUUAUACAUUCACGCACUAAAAGAAAACAUAAUUUUUACUAGGGCAGUAUUCGUUGUAAAUUCGUCGUAAACCGGGUGUUACGACGAAUUAA